CAAAAACAUGUCUUUUUGAGUUAUUUUUAAAGUUUAACCUGCCCAAUGAAUGAUUUUUAAUGGCCGCAGUAAUUUGACUGUGCAAAGGUAGCAUAAUAAUUAGUCUUUUAAUUGAAGGCUAGAAUGAAUGGUUGGACGAAGUAUAAUCUGUUUCAUUUAAAUUUAUUAUAGAAUUUUAUAUUUUAGUAAAAAAGCUAAAAUUUUUUUAAAAGACGAGAAGACCCUAUAAAUCUUUAUAAUUUAUAAUAAUUUUUUUUUUUUUGAUUUAUUUUAUUUUAAUAAUUUAGAUUAUUUUAUUGGGGUGAUAUUAAAAUUUAAAUAACUUUUAAUUUUUUUUUAACAUUAAUUUAUGAUUUAUUGAUCCAUUAAUAAUGAUUAUAAGAAUAAGUUACUUUAGGGAUAACAGCGUAAUUUUUUUGGAGAGUUCUUAUUGAUAAAAAAGUUUGCGACCUCGAUGUUGGAUUAAGAUAUAAUUUUAGGUGUAGUUGCUUAAAUAAUAAGUCUGUUCGACUUUUAAAUUCUUACAUGAUCUGAGUUCAAACCGGA
rnacentral:rRNA from 1 species